UGAAGGUCCUCACCGCCCCCCAGGCUGCAGUGAACUUGGGCUUCACUCUGCCCAGGGCCUGCCCCAAAACCAGCGCAGGCAAGCCUCCUGGUGUCUGGGGCCACAGCCCACUCCUUCAGCCCCUGGGCAUCAGUGGCUUCUCCCUCUGGGACCACAGGGUGUCUUCUCCACUGCCUGGAUGAUGUUGUCUCUGGCCAGCUGUGGACAAUGCCCUCCCUUUGCUCCUGCCUGCUACAGAGUACCAGUGAGUUUAUGCAGUCUGUGCUGUGAGCCAAGGUGCCAGACAUAUGGGAACAGUAUGAGGUGGAUUCCGCUAUCCCCGUUUGGUAGUCAGCUGAGUCUUCAAUGGUUUAAAAGUCAUCUGCUGCAGGUCACCCAGUGAGGGGCAGAAGCAGGCUUGGAGCCUGAGCCUCUCCAACUGAAAAGCCCUGUUGUCACUACUCUGCUCUCUGCUCCCAUCGGGGCAGGGUGGGGGGCAAUGCAGAUCUCCUGGGACAUUUCAUGAAACUUGGGGGUCCUUAGUUGCCUCCCUAUGGGUCCACAGAACAUUGCUUGGUCUAUCUUUCUUUAGCUCCCCAGCCCUGAGGAUCCCACUCUAGAAAGAUUGUUCUCCACAUAGAAGCCACUCUCUGCCGGCCCCACACAUCUGUGAAUCCAUCAGGCAUCAUUCCCAAAGCUGCCAGUGUCCAACUGCCCCGUGAAUGGAGGGCAUGGUCUUGAAAGCCUCUGCAUCCUCCCCUCUAUGAACCUGUUGCUUCCUAUUUCAAAUCAGAACCAGUCCUCUUGUCAUAUUUGAAUUUCAAAUGUCCACCCACCUUUUCAGCUUGUCUGCCUCUGUUGUCUAAGAAUCCAGGUCAAUCAAUUGUGAGGAAAAUGUAGCUAGGACACAGCAGGACGAAAGUGAAACAGUCUUGUUACACCCCAAACUUCAUGAGCCAAGGCCUUGGCAAAGACUUUGUGAUAGCGUGCCAAGAACAGAACUGUGGCAAGGGAAUGGUUCCCGAAUCUGCCUCCAAACAUUCUUCACAGAGUAGCUGGCUUUCCAAUGUAGACCUGAUGAUAUUCAUCAUGCCGCAGCAUAGGAGAGCAGGCCAGGGUCCAAGCAGCUCCUAUCAGAGACUGCUCUGAACAAGGUUCCCAUGCACAUCGAGUCUAUGUGAUAAGUACCGUCAAACUGAAUUAAAGAGAACGUUUUCCAUCAGAACAGGAUGGAAGACAGGAAACACUUGUGGGGGAUGGGCACAAAAUGAAGGCUAAGUUAAAAAUGGCUAUUAAAAUGAGCAUUUCAGUCGGGUGUUUAAAGACAUAGUUGUUGUUUUUUA